rnacentral:rRNA from 1 species
GAUGAACGCUGGCGGCGUGCCUAAUACAUGCAAGUCGAGCGAACAGACGAGGAGCUUGCUCCUCUGACGUUAGCCGAGGACGGGUGGGUAACACGUGGAUAACCUCCCUAUAAGACUGGGAUAACUUCGGGACACCGGAGCUAAUACCGGAUAAUAUAUUGAACCGCAUGGUUCAAUAGUGAAAUACGGCUGUGCGGUCUCGUAUAGAUGGAUCCGCGCCGCAUUAGCUAGUUGGUCAGGUAACGGCUUACGAAGGCGACGAUGCGUAGCCGAACUGAGAGGGUGAUCGGCCACACGGGAACUGAGACACGGACCAGACUCCUAAGGGAGGCAGCAGUAGGGAAUCUUACGCAACGGGCGAAAGCCUGACGGAGCAACGCCGCGUGAGUGAUGAAGGUCUUCGGAUCGUAAAGCUCUGUUAUUAGGGAAGAACAAAUGUGUACGUAACUAUGCGCGUCUUGACGGUACCGGAUCAGAAAGCCACGGCUAACUACGUG